CUCAGGACGAACGCUGGCGGCGUGCUUAACACAUGCAAGUCGAACGAUGAAGCCUUUCGGGGUGGAUUAGUGGCGAACGGGUGAGUAACACGUGGGCAAUCUGCCCUUCACUCUGGGACAAGCCCUGGAAACGGGGUCUAAUACCGGAUAACACUCUGUCCUGCAUGGGACGGGGUUAAAAGCUCCGGCGGUGAAGGAUGAGCCCGCGGCCUAUCAGCUUGUUGGUGGGGUAAUGGCUUACCAAGGCGACGACGGGUAGCCGGCCUGAGAGGGCGACCGGCCACACUGGGACUGAGACACGGCCCAGACUCCUACGGGAGGCAGCAGUGGGGAAUAUUGCACAAUGGGCGAAAGCCUGAUGCAGCGACGCCGCGUGAGGGAUGACGGCCUUCGGGUUGUAAACCUCUUUCAGCAGGGAAGAAGCGAAAGUGACGGUACCUGCAGAAGAAGCGCCGGCUAACUACGUGCC
rnacentral:rRNA from 1 species